AAUACUCUGCAGAGAGUCAGUCGAAAUGAAAUUACACAUAGAAACUAAGCACCGCGAGGCUUUGUUUGUGAGACAUACAGUCACGUGAGACUUUUGAGGAGUGUUUCGGGGCGGAGCUUAGUAAGGUCCAUUCACUUCCCCCUCUGGGCUUUCUCCCAUUGAAGUGGGUUUCUCCGGUAUAAUUUCAGUCGGGCCAAUCAGCGAACAGAAGCAGAAGACGUGCAGAUGACGUCAGUUUUCUUUGCCGUUUUAGAAUUAGCUUAGCAACAGCAGCGGAGGAAGUGAACGAAGUCUUUCAGUCCGCGUUGGUCACACUUCCUAACAUUGAAUUAACAUUAAUAUCCUGCAUUCUGCUCAACUCUUCUCUUUUCGCAGUGGAGGAUGGUCAAAUGCAACACAAGCAACUUCCGGGCUAGCUCUGGCAUUCUUCAGCCGUGGCUGUACCCAGUUUUGUGGUCCCACACAUGAAAGCUUCAUUUCAAAUUUCUAUGAUCACACAUUGCCUUGCAGAAGUACUCACAUCACCGUAACCACUUUACUGUGAUGCCCUUUAAGGAAACCCAGUGCAAACAUGUUGAAGUAAUUGGUAAAUAAAAUCAAACUUAUAAUUCAAUCUGUGUCCGGGAAAAUAUUUUCUUAGGUCAAAUGAGGCCAAAAUUGACCUUUCUGACUUGGAUGCCAAACUCUGUGUGGUGAAAAAUUAACAACAAUAAUUACAUUAAAGUAUGGUGGUGGCAGCAUCAUGUUGUGAGAAUGUUUCUGAUCAAAAUUGAGUUGAAACAAUCCACAGUCUUAGUAUUGUUUUUGUUUUUUUCUUUAUUUUGGAUUUUUAGUGCAGACCCAGUAACUCCACCUACCAGCCUGUGUCUUUCCAAAAAGCCUGUCGAUGGUUUAUUCAUUUCAAACACUACAGAACUGAGUUUGGGUGCAACACAUGCCACAUGUAUAAAAGAAUACAGUCAGUUGUUAUAAUGAGUUUUCAUAUUUGAUAGAAACAUUUACUCGACAAAAAUAAAGGGGUGGGGGAGAAUAAAUCUGGACUAAAAUGUAGAAAUAAUUCAGUCACUGAAGAUGUGGGGGUUGGCUUCAUUUAUGUUCCAGACAUAAAAAAGAAAAAACUAUGAAAAGCUUCUUCUGCAACUUCCACUUGUGCAAGUGGACAACAAGCAGACUCCCAGUCCAUGCUUGCAUAGCCUAACAUGAGAGGAGAGGAGAGGGGUGGAGGGGUGGGCAGAGGAGGGGAAGAGGUGCAAACUAUCGGAAAGAGAAACAUUUCGGCAGUAGCCAAACGCGAUCGUCUCACAGUGUAAGAAACUCCAUCAAACGCCUCUUUGAGGUUCCCGCAUCUUUAAUGAUCGCUGCAGACAGGUAAAUAAGAAGAUGACACCUUUCAAUAAAAAGUUUCUCCUUACAAAAAAGUUUUACACAAAGGAAUGCAGUGUGUCCAGUAAACAUAGAUGAGGCUUUUUUUUAUUAUUAUUGUUGUUUUGGCUGCAUUGGAAGUGGAGUCACCCUCACAAGCUCCCUAAGCCUUGAGAGCGAGCCCCAAGCAGCGAAUCCAAAAGCCAAGAAUGUACUCGUUUCGCAGUGCUCUUUGUUUCUGUAAACAUGUUGAUAUGUAAGUUAAAGUUACCCUUUUUUUUCAUUACCAUUAUUAUUAUUAUUAUUAUUAUUAUUAUUAUUAUUAUUAUUAUUAUUAUUAUUAUUUCUUCAAGUUUAAAUCAAAACAAGCGGCCUGACAAAAAAAAGAAGAAGCCAAUUAAUUGGAGUACUGCACCUGAUGAUGGCAGGGAUUCUGACCUUUCCUCUAAAAGGGCAGCAGUACGACGUGAUCAAAAGAAAAGGGGGAAAAAAAAUCAUGUCCACACACACGAGUAGAUUUCUGCUCAUCAUACAAGCCACCGAAGCCAAAACACGGUGCAACGUGUCGACGUUAAAGCUCUUCAAUCCACAGCUGCAGCCUGAACCAGUGGCGCCCCCUAGAUUAAUUUUAUAGGGGUGGCCAAGAAAAAUUUUAGGAGGGGGUACAACAAAAAAAAAA